rnacentral:rRNA from 1 species
AUACGUAGGGGGCUAGCGUUGUCCGGAAUCACUGGGCGUAAAGGGCGUGUAGGCGGUCCGCUAAGUCUGAUGUGAAAGCCCGGGGCUCACCCCCGGAAGUGCAUUGGAAACUGACGGACUCGAGUCCCGGAGAGGAGGGUGGAAUUCCUAGUGCAGCGGUGAAAUGCGUAGAUAUCAGGAGGAACACCGGUGGCGAAGGCGGCCCUCUGGACGGUGACUGACGCUGAGACGCGAAAGCGUGGGGAGCAAACAG